GUAUAGAGCUGACAUCUGUCGGCGACGCCGAGCAACAGUGCAGCACGCAUCAGCUGUGUGGAUCUCGCAAGAAGAAGUUCAGCAGGAAAAUACCGAAAUGUCUUGGAUUUGGAAUAAUGGACUACUCAACUAUCUGGAUCAAAAAAGAGGGGCCAUGUGAGACAUCUACUGUGCCAGAGUCGAUGGUCCAGGUUUACCCAUCCAAUGUGAAAGUAGAAGAGGAUAUGCAAGGGGGUAUGAAUCCGGAGGGAGCACUAAAGGCCAAAGUAGCACAACAAAUCCACACACAUUACAGGAACUCAAGGAUAAUAUCCAUGAGUCAGUUCAUUCACUUUCUCAAAGAGAAGUACAUUGUGUGACAAAUAAUUUCUUCAGUAGAUGUGAGGAAUGCGUGGAAAAAAAUGGCAAGUAGUUCCAGCAUCUCAAUGCAUGACGUAGGCAGAAGAUAGGAAUGAAGUGCCAACCUAUUUCUAAACUGGAAGUGCAGUCUGUAGCAAAUUAUGUGGAGAGUUUGCAUAGCAAUAGCAGUAAUACAAGGUGUCCAACAAAGGACUUCCUAACAUUAGAAUUAAAUAACAUGAAAAUAGUAGAAUAGACAUUAUGUUUACUGUGGAAGCAGUAAGAACUUUAUAUAGAAGCUUUGAAAUAAUAGUUACAAAACAUGGAACUGUCAUAGCAUAACAAUGUACUUAUAAAUAAUACUCCAAAGUACAGAGCAAUCAGUUCCACAAAUCAGUUCAUCAAAUUCAAAUGGACAGGCAGCAUGUAAAUGUUGGGCCGGUGGCAGCUGUAGUUACUCUUGAAGAUGUCAGCACACUUUCUGGAAGCAUUCAGCAGAAUAUGAGGAAAUUUGUCCAAAAAAUUUCUAUAGAGGCUGGUUUGAAGUGUUCAAGCAUGCAUAUACUACUGAGAAAAGGUCCACACAUGUUCCUAUUGAAAAUCCACAGCCACCAGGUCAUAUCCGUAACCACUGUGAAAUAAAGGGCUUACUGCAGACCGAAUUCUCACAAUAACUGAAGGAUUUGGUGCUGGCUGCAUCUGGUUUUCUGGUUAAGGAUACAUCCAUCUGAAUGUGUUGGAGAAUAAGAAAACUGUCAGUUUUGGGGUACCAAAAAAGCCCCUUUUGUAUGAAGAAAAACCAUUGCAUUCUCCUAAAGCUAUUGUUUAGGCUUGUGAUAUGCAGCAGGCAUACAAUCAGCCCUUAUGUCAUGCAAGAAUCAGUAGCUAGUAAACAUUACUUUAUAAUUUUUGAAAAGUUUGUCAUCAAACAAUAAGCUUUAGAGCCUCAAUGUGCACUGAGUGAUUCAUGCAAGAUGGGGCCUGAUCGCAUGCCACCAAACAGGUGUUCCACUUUCUUGAGGAAUACUUCAAGAAUAGGGUCGUUGUGUGCAUUAUCCCAUUUUUAUGGACACAGGCAUGGAAAGCCUCCAUAUUCACUCAGUCUGACUUUUGGGACUACUUUUCAGGGGCACGUUGAAAUACAUCAUCAACUGGGACCAUCCCACCACACUGGAUGAAUGUGAACUGUUGAUCUGCAUUGCAACUGAAUCCAUUUCUGUACACUUCAAGAUGUGAUAAAUAUGAUGAGCAGUGAGCAUUUUGAAAAGAUUAUGAUGUGAUUGCCAAGGCUGUUUGCAAAAGAUAAAAUUUAUUUAUGCAUGCUGAUAAAAGCGUAAAUUGUACAGUGCCAUUAGCAGUUUUUCUAAGUAUUAUACAAAACAACUGUACAAAAUUCUGUGUGUUCAAAAUUAAUCUACCAUUCAUUCAAUUCUUUUCUUUUCUGUGUUAGUUAAUUAUAAACCAGGGAGUCCUUGGUUGGCUACCCUUUAUAUUUAUAGUUAAUGAAAACCCAGCAACUACACACACAAUUCUUCAGUCAGCAGAUCUUCAAACUUCCACUCCUAGGUACUCCACAAUGAAAGAAAGGGAGCAGAAUGAUGAAUAUGGUUCUGCAAUUGAGUCAAUCACUAAUACACUGCAAGAAGUUGGUGAUGAAACAGAUAUUUUUGCUAAAUUUUUGGGAGCAGAAAUCAGAAAAAUCGUGUCAAGGAGAAAAGGGAUGUAAACCUAAUAUUAAUUAAAGAGUUAUGGAAAUCAUUAGAUGAAUAAAUUUUAUGUUGGAAUGUAAUUUGCUUCAGGACUAUGGAAUUGUAAUCUGCACCUGUCCCACUAUCUGUACGCUAAUAUUAGCUUAUGGGAGAGAGAAAUAGGGGAGCAUCCAUACACUUCUAGGCAGUGUUCAUUCAUAUAAUCAAGCAGAGUGCAUUUAUUCACAGGCUGCUGCAAAUAAUUACCCGUUUGCAGCAAACCUCUGUGGAUGUGAUCAAGUGGGGGACAGACUUGUUGAAUGAGAGUUUUAUUUACAUUCUUGUGCAUCAAGAUCAGAACUUAUUUGGAAAAUUUAUUCUUGUAUUCAACCAUCCAGUGUGAAUCAUGUAACAAGGAGCAUAUUAAGUAUUGUUUGAUAACAUAUUCUUCAGGACUGUAUAUUACUUUAUAUUUCACACAGUACAACCUACUAAAUUCAAAGUUAGUAAAUAUCAUACAAUAUGCUCAUUAUUAAUUCCCCCACUGUGCUUUGGUUUUGUAUGGCAGUAUCCUUUCAGUGAGGUGAAAUUUAUUGCCUGUGUAACUCAAAGGCACUGUGAAAUGUAGGUAAGUUCAGUCACCUAUGAAAUUAAAGGGUCACAUAUGAUGUAUUACUAUUUGAAAACACCACUGUCUGUGUGAAGCCAGUAUGCUGUGUAAAUUAUUUUGACAGAAAUAUGGCCUCAGCUUUGCACACAGUUAAAUAACAGGAAAUGGCAGUGACCUCUGCAUAGCAUCACUCUGUUGUAAACCAAUAAGUAAGUUCACCUACUGGUGCAUAUUUAUUUCACCAUUGUGCAUUUCCAUAAUCCUUGGUAUGUCACUAAUUUUCUGAUAAACUUUUCUUUCAUAUGUUUAGUUUUGCUUUACUCUGUUACUACCUUCAUUCUAAUUUGAGGCCAAUGCACUGCAUAGUCUUAUCACCUUCUUUCUCACUGAUCACGCAUCCUAUGACUUUUUACUGUGAAUUCUGUUCAAUAUUGCUGUAGAGCUUCAUGCUACAUUCAGUGAUGUGGUUAUUUAAUGCCAAGAGUUUGGAAAAGGUAAAUAUAAUGUUCAAGACAGCAAUUUAUUCUGGUACGUGUUGUGUUUGCUAAGACUUACUAAAUGUUUCACAUAUAAAUAUAGUGUGUAAAGUUUUGGCAGAAUGGAAAUAAUUUAGGAGUAGAGGAAACAGCCUACAAAACAGGAGAAUCAUUGAGUUGUCAACAGAUACACAAAAAAAGAAUGGAAAUUUUGCUAGAUUUUGGAUAGGCCUAUCAUACAUUGAAGACUAGCCCCAGCCAGCCUUUUUUGUGCUGUCUGGGGUUUGAGAAUUUUUUGACUGGUGAGUACUUUUUUUUUUUAAUUUGGGCCUAUAUGUGCAAAAAUAAUUUUUAAACAUUCUCUUGCAUGCUUCUCUCAUCCAGUCUUGGAACAAAUGCAUACAACAAUAGGGAGUUAUGGCUACAGGUUGUGCCACAACUUUUCACUUUGUAAUUUGGAAAAACAACAAGGGCUAUAUGUCUGUGCUGUUUUCAUGUGUGCAUUUUUUAUCAUUUUAUCUCGGUUGUUUUAUAUCUCAUCAUUGAGGAAUAGGCAAAAAAGUGUGUUUUAAUAUUAAUC